rnacentral:rRNA from 1 species
GACGAACGCUGGCGGCGUGCCUAAUACAUGCAAGUCGAGCGAACGGACGAUAAGCUUGCUUCUCUCAUGUUAGCGGCGCACGGGUGAGUAACACGUGGAUAACCUACCUAUAAUUCUGGGAUAACUUCGGGAAACCGGCGCUAAUACCAUAUGAUAUCUUGCUCCGUAUUGUUCGAUAGUGAGAUACGGCCUUGCGGUCUGUUAUAGAUGGAUACGCGCUUCAUUAUCUAGUUGGUACGGUAACGGCUUACCAAGGCGACGAUGCAUGACCGACCUGAGAGGGGGAUCGGCCACACAGGAGGUGACACACGACACAGAGACCGACGGGAGGCAGCAGUAGGGAAGCGUCCGAGAAGGGCGAAAGCUUGAAGGAGGAACGGAGCGUGAAUGAUGAAGGGCUUCGGAUCGUAAAACGCUGUUAGUAGGGAAGAACAUAUGUGUAAGUAACGGUGCACAUGUGGACGGUACGUAAACAGAAAGCCACGGCUAAUUAGGU